rnacentral:rRNA from 1 species
GACGAACGCUGGCGGCGUGCUUAACACAUGCAAGUCGAGCGGUAAGGCCCUUUCGGGGUACACGAGCGGCGAACGGGUGAGUAACACGUGGGUGACCUGCCCUCAGCUCUGGGAUAAGCCUGGGAAACCGGGUCUAAUACCGGAUAUGACUCCAUGACGCAUGUUGUGGGGUGGAAAGCCUUGUGCGGCUGAGGAUGGGCCCGCGGCCUAUCAGC